rnacentral:ncRNA from 1 species
CCGCCCGUCGCUCCUACCGAUUGAAUGGUCCGGUGAAGUGUUCGGAUCGCGGCGACGGGGGCGGUUCGACGCCCCCGACGUCGCGAGAAGUCCAUUGAACCUUAUCAUUUAGAGGAAGGAGAAGUCGUAACAAGGUUUCCGUAGGUGAACCUGCGGAAGGAUCAUUG